AUUAAAACAUAUACUGCUUUUUAAGAGAAACAUACCUAAUGUUUUAUUUGAUUAACCCUGUAUGUAUAGCAAAUUUCUUCUAAUUUGUUUUUCUUAAGUGCUGAAGACUUCCAUAAGGACGCAACUACAAAUAGUUCUUAUCUUCAGAGGGUAGCCUUAGUCUCUCUACCUUUUCUUUUUUGGUGUUGAUAAUUGGAUUAAAUAUGUUAGAUAGCUGCUGAGUAUUUUGAUUUGUUCUUAGGAAAAUCGUUUACGCCAAGAGAUAGAAGACCUGGAGAAGGACACUGGGUAUAAGUUGAGAGUUCUCGCACAAAAUCAUCCGGACACACCGUAAAAUGGAUAGAUGACCCGUUUGCGCCUCAAGAAGUCAUAGGCAGGACCAAAUGUGAUGUAAUUACUUUCAAUAGUGCUUCAGCUCUGCAAUCGACAGUUUGACCUCAUGCUAGGGCAGCCUCAGCCAGUUGCCUCUUCUAUCAAAGUGCUGAUGGAAGACAUCCUGAGUCCUUAUUGCAUGCUAGAGAACAACAACUAUCUUGUUGGUGAUUCCCCUGAUAUUUGGUUCUACAAGUGUGGCAUAUGGACCAAUGAAAGCAAAGAUAUUCUGAAUGUAAUAGCUAUAUGGGUUGUGCCAAAUGGUUUAACAGUGGAAGCGUCACGCUUAAGUACCUGUGGAAGUGUACUAUGCAAGCAUUAUCAGACAAUGCAAUGACACCCUGUUUGUACAUUCACACCCUUUGAAUGCCGCAAUCAG